rnacentral:rRNA from 1 species
AGAGUUUGAUCCUGGCUCAGGAUGAACGCUAGCGACAGGCCUAACACAUGCAAGUCGAGGGGCAGCGGAGAGGUAGCAAUACCUUUGCCGGCGACCGGCGCACGGGUGAGUAACACGUAUGCAAUCCACCUGUAACAGGGGGAUAACCCGGAGAAAUCCGGACUAAUACCCCAUAAUAUGGGCUCUCCGCAUGGAGGGUUCAUUAAAGAGAGCAAUUUUGGUUACAGACGAGCAUGCGCUCCAUUAGCCAGUUGGCGGGGUAACGGCCCACCAAAGCGACGAUGGAUAGGGGUUCUGAGAGGAAGGUCCCCCACAUUGGAACUGAGACACGGUCCAAACUCCUACGGGAGGCAGCAGUGAGGAAUAUUGGUCAAUGGUCGGCAGACUGAACCAGCCAAGUCGCGUGAGGGAAGACGGCCCUACGGGUUGUAAACCUCUUUUGUCGGAGAGUAAAGUACGCUACGUGUAGCGUAUUGCAAGUAUCCGAAGAAAAAGCAUCGGCUAACUCCGUGCCAGCAGCCGCGGUAAUACGGAGGAUGCGAGCGUUAUCCGGAUUUAUUGGGUUUAAAGGGUGCGUAGGCGGCACGCCAAGUCAGCGGUGAAAUUUUCGGGCUCAACCCGGACUGUGCCGUUGAAACUGGCGAGCUAGAGUGCACAAGAGGCAGGCGGAAUGCGUGGUGUAGCGGUGAAAUGCAUAGAUAUCACGCAGAACCCCGAUUGCGAAGGCAGCCUGCUAGGGUGCGACAGACGCUGAGGCACGAAAGCGUGGGUAUCGAACAGGAUUAGAUACCCUGGUAGUCCACGCAGUAAACGAUGAAUACUAACUGUUUGCGAUACAAUGUAAGCGGUACAGCGAAAGCGUUAAGUAUUCCACCUGGGGAGUACGCCGGCAACGGUGAAACUCAAAGGAAUUGAC